rnacentral:rRNA from 1 species
CCUACGGGAGGCUGCAGUAGGGAAUAUUGCUCAAUGGGGGAAACCCUGAAGCAGCAACGCCGCGUGGAGGAUGAAGGUUUUCGGAUUGUAAACUCCUUUUGUUAGAGAAGAUAAUGACGGUAUCUAACGAAUAAGCACCGGCUAACUCCGUGCCAGCAGCCGCAGUAAUACGGAGGGUGCAAGCGUUACUCGGAAUCACUGGGCGUAAAGCGCGCGUAGGCGGGAUAGCAAGUCAGAUGUGAAAUCCUAUGGCUUAACCAUAGAACUGCAUUUGAAACUGUUAUUCUAGAGUAUGGGAGAGGUAGGUGGAAUGCGUGGUGUAGGGGUAAAAUCCGUAGAGAUCAAGAGGAAUACUCAUUGCGAAGGCGACCUGCUAGAACAUAACUGACGCUGAUGCGCGAAAGCGUGGGGAGCAAACAGGAUUAGAUACCCUUGUAGUC